UUUGACCUACGGGGGGCAGCAGUGAGGAAUAUUGGUCAAUGGCCGAGAGGCUGAACCAGCCACGUCGCGUGAGGGAUGACGGCCCUACGGGUUGUAAACCUCUUUUGUCGGAGAACAAAACCCGGGACGAGUCCCGGACUGCGUGUAUCCGAAGAAAAAGCAUCGGCUAACUCCGUGCCAGCAGCCGCGGUAAUACGGAGGAUGCGAGCGUUAUCCGGAUUUAUUGGGUUUAAAGGGUGCGUAGGCGGUCCGUUAAGUCAGCGGUAAAAUUGCGGGGCUCAACCCCGUCGAGCCGUUGAAACUGG
rnacentral:rRNA from 1 species